AUAGCAAAGUUUGGGGUUAAUUGGGGGUCCAAAUUGCGAAAUUAAAAUCCAAGGACUCCAUUGAAAAAGGCGCGCAAAUGCAGGGGGCCAAUUACAGUUUAAACCAGGGGUUUAAUUACAAGACUUUCAAAACUGCAUGAAUCAAAACGAAAAAUGGCCGAACGACGUCGUUUUGAAGACGCUGUUCAUCUUCUUCUCCUUUAAGCCAGUGACCGUUUUCUACAGUAAAGGAGGCCGAACGUUGCAGCAGUAAUCGUCGUCCGUUAGCUUCAGUUAUGGGCGCCUUAAUGGUGGUCGACCCUCAGCCUACCGCCCGUUACCACCCGCCAAACUCUAUAUAAACGGAGGAGCACCGAAAAAAGGGAGGUUGGUUAAGGAGAGAACGGAAAAAAACCAAGUGAGCAGAAAAAAAGGAAACUCAGAAAAACAGAAAAAAGACAGCACACGGAGCAAAAACCCGAGAGAGAGCACGAGCCAAACAAAGACUACACAGAGAGGGGUAUUGCUUUUACCAUUGCUUUCGUCCCUAUAGACAACAAAAAAACCAGAAAACAAGCAGGGGGGAAAAGAGGAAGAGAAACUGGGGAGAGAAGGGAGAGUUAAAGAAAAACAAAACAGAGGAGAGAAGGCAGUGGCAGUGUUGGUGGGAUAGCCCUUCUACACUGUCAUCGUCUUCUGCAAUUGUGAGCAACAGGAACCAGAGCGUUUCUUUCUUUCUUUGAGAACAGAGGCAGAGAGGAGGACAGGGAAAUAAGAAACCCACAGACAAAAGCACCAGCAUCACAAUCGGCUUUUUCUUCUCCGACGCCGGCUUCCAAAACCAGAGGAAGAAGCUUAAAAAACGAAGAGAGGAACAGCACGCCAUCGCCUUCAGUCUGCUCCCAGGCAAGUGUCUCCAGCUUUGUAAAAUAAUUCAUCAACACUGUGCAUUAGAGACUU
rnacentral:lncRNA from 1 species